ACGAACGCUGGCGGCGUGCUUAACACAUGCAAGUCGAACGGAAAGGCCCUGCUUUUGUGGGGUGCUCGAGUGGCGAACGGGUGAGUAACACGUGAGUAACCUGCCCUUGACUUUGGGAUAACUUCAGGAAACUGGGGCUAAUACCGGAUAGGAGCUCCUGCUGCAUGGUGGGGGUUGGAAAGUUUCGGCGGUUGGGGGUGGAGUCGCGGCUUAUCAGCUAGUUGGUGGGGUAGUGGCUUACCAAGGCUUAGACGGGUAGCCGGCCAGAGAGGGUGACCGGCCACAUUGGAGCAAAGAUACGGCCCAGGCUGCUACGGGAGGCAGCAGUGUGAAAUAAUGCAAAAAAGGCGGAAGCCUGAUGCAGCAACGCCGCGUGCGGGAUAACGGCCUUCGGGUUGUAAACCGCUUUCGCCUGUGACGAAGCGUGAGUGGCGGUAAUGGGUAAAGAAGCACCGGCUAACUACGUG
rnacentral:rRNA from 1 species